rnacentral:rRNA from 1 species
AUGAAGGUUGUGUUGCCUUGUUCUGCCCCGCGUGUUUCCAGAGAGGCAGCAAUGUUUGAGGGUCUCGUCUUUGUGGACAUGGCUAAAAUGGAUUAUUGCCAACUGAUGGUUGAUGAGCUUAGAAGGGCUGUUGCCAAGUGCCAAGAUGGUGAUACCAUGGGGAAGGCAAUCACAGGCUGUGCCAUAGGGCCUGUACUAAUGUACCUUAACUGCCUUAUCCGUGGCAAGAUUGCGGAGCCUGACAUGCGAGUCCCCCGCAUAUGUUUCAUGGAUCCUUCCAAGCUUUCUGAUCUGGUUGAUGCAGAUUUGAUAAAAAAGGCAAUGCAGAUCCAAACACUUGGGUGUUUGGGAAGCUUCCGUGGAAAACUCAUGAGGAGGUUGUUUUUUCCGAGUGUAUAA